rnacentral:tRNA from 1 species
GGGCCCGUAGCUCAGCUAGGCAGAGCGGCGGGCUCCAGUUCGUGCUACGGGUCUAGAGACCCCGUAUGGGGGAUGAUAGAGAACUGGAGAGGAGAGACCCGUAGGUCGGGGGUUCAAAUCCCCCCGGGCCCA